AUCGAAUUGACCUAAUUAGCUUCUAGUUUUGGUCAUAUCUAUGUUGUUUUUCAAAGAUUAUGUAUUGAUAUGUAUUCUUUAUAAACGAUGGAAGAACCUUUGUCAUGAAGCCACAAACCUCCUUUUCAAGGAAUCCGAGUUCAUGGAAAGAUCUAUCUUCAAUACAGAAACCAUAAAAACAAUAAGGCUUGAUAGAGAAACCAGUAAGUCAUCCCUUCGGGGAAUGUAUAAUGUCUCCCACCGUAUUCACUGCUACCUAGCUCCCAACAAGUUAAUAAUACAUACCUCAAGGGGUGGUACGAUGAUGCUAUAGAGGUUGAUGAGUUACAGAAGUAUUGAUUUGGUGGAGAUGAGAUGAUAAGUAACCGAUAAACGCGGCUUAAUUUAUCAAAGGGAAAAACGUUUAUAUGGAUACAAGACUCGUGAGAGAAAUUUAAGGGGAAACCACACAAAAAUAUUGACUCAAAACAAUGCUCAAAGACUUGAAUGUUGGAAGAAGACCAACUUGAACUUUUUAUUGCUUAGAAAUUGUGUAAUGAGAACAAAGCAACGAGCUUUUAUAAGCUCAAACGAGAGGAG